rnacentral:sRNA from 1 species
UGUCCCCUGCUUUGCCCGUGAUGAUGUAACUUGUUCCUCGUGAAAAAAAAAUACGGGAGCUGUCACUGAAAAGGGUGUGCAUGCCCAGAUAGGACUGGGAAGCCUAAACUUUUUGACAUGGC